rnacentral:SRP_RNA from 2 species
GCCGGGCGUGGUGGCUCACGCCUGUAAUCCUAGCUAUUCAGGAGGCUGAGGCAGGAGAAUCGCUUGAACCUGGGAGGCGGAGGCUGCAGUGAGCUGAGAUCGUGCCACUGCACUCCAACCUGGGCGACAGAGCGAGACUCUGUCUCAA